rnacentral:rRNA from 1 species
GGGGGACCUUCGGGCCUCUUGCCAUCGGAUGUGCCCAGAUGGGAUUAGCUAGUAGGUGGGGUAACGGCUCACCUAGGCGACGAUCCCUAGCUGGUCUGAGAGGAUGACCAGCCACACUGGAACUGAGACACGGUCCAGACUCCUACGGGAGGCAGCAGUGGGGAAUAUUGCACAAUGGGCGCAAGCCUGAUGCAGCCAUGCCGCGUGUAUGAAGAAGGCCUUCGGGUUGUAAAGUACUUUCAGCGGGGAGGAAGGGAGUAAAGUUAAUACCUUUGCUCAUUGACGUUACCCGCAGAAGAAGCACCGGCUAACUCCGUGCCAGCAGCCGCGGUAAUACGGAGGGUGCAAGCGUUAAUCGGAAGUUCCCGCGCAUACUCAUGCUGGCCUUUUCC